rnacentral:rRNA from 1 species
UACGUAGGCAGCAAGCGUUGUUCGGAAUUACUGGGCGUAAAGAGUGUGUAGGCGGUGCUCUAAGUUCGGUGUGAAAUCUCCCGGCUUAACUGGGAGGGUGCGCCGGAAACUGGAGUGCUUGAGCGCGGGAGAGGAAAGCGGAAUUCCUGGUGUAGCGGUGAAAUGCGUAGAUAUCAGGAGGAACACCUGUGGUGUAGACGGCUUUCUGGACCGUAACUGACGCUGAGACACGAAAGCGUGGGUAGCAAACAGG